rnacentral:tRNA from 2 species
GAAAAGGUGGCCGAGUGGCUGAAGGCAACAGACUGUAAAUCUGUCGAUUAGGAGUCCGCGUAGGUUCGAAUCCUAUCCUUUUCA